GGACAUUGAGUCUGUGGAGUCCAGGAUAUGAAAGGAGAAGGGGGGCAUAGUUGGUUUUUUAACACAGUGACUGUCGUGUAGGAACCGGUCUGUGUCUGCUCUCUGCUGUUGACAUUGGCGAAGGGUGUGCUGCUGCUUACAGCUGAGAGAGUGCACUUGACAGUGUGGGCCUCAGUGCACCAACGUCAGGUUUAUAGUCUCUACUUUGACCUCUUUCCUCACCCACAUGUUAAAUACAAGCUGCGUGGUCUCAGCUCUGAUAUGAUGUCACGUCACCUCUCACAUGCUAGACAGCUGGAGCACUGAUGGCAGAUUUUGCUGUGAGCUUAACUAUUGUCAUGUAAGACCAUUGGGGUCUGGGAACACAAGUGGAUGUAUCAUGGUUUCUGCGGCUCCUGCCUGCCUGUCACCUCCUCAAUUAUGGUAAAAGCUAUGGUUUAAAGGCCAUUGGACUUCCAACAUUUACAAGUUCAUUAGAAUAGAAGCUGCCAGAAUGAGAACUCACGUAAGUACCUGUUAUACCAGGAUGCUUUCAGUGGAAAGCUCCUGCAGGGUUUGUUCUCACCUGUUCCUGUGGACCCCAAGCUGGAUCACGCUGAAUUGUUACCAUCACUGCAGACCUGUCUGCCUUUGAGGAACUACCGUGCAGCCUAAGGGAAGGGUGGCUUGAUUUCAAAUAAACUUUUUAGAAUUUU
rnacentral:lncRNA from 1 species